AGAGUUUGAUCCUGGCUCAGAAUGAACGCUGGCGGCGUGCUUAACACAUGCAAGUCGUACGAGAACUCUUUAGCUUGCUAAAGAUAGUAAAGUGGCGCACGGGUGAGUAACGCGUGGGUAAUCUACCUCCGAAUUGGGGAUAACCCGCCGAAAGGCGAGCUAAUACCGGAUAAUAUCUUUAAGACUUCGGUUUUAAAGAUCAAAGGUGGUCUCUACAUGUAAGCUACUGUUUGGAGAUGAGCCCGCGUACCAUUAGCUUGUUGGUAGGGUAAUGGCCUACCAAGGCUUCGAUGGUUAGCUGGUCUGAGAGGAUGAUCAGCCACACUGGAACUGACACACGGUCCAGACUCCUACGGGAGGCAGCAGUGAGGAAUUUUGCGCAAUGGGGGAAACCCUGACGCAGCAACGCCGCGUGAGUGAUGAAGGCUUUCGGGUCGUAAAGCUCUGUCAAGUGGGAAGAACAUGCUUGAUGCUAAUACCAUCUUGCACUGACGGUACCACUGAAGGAAGCACCGGCUAACUCCGUGCCAGCAGCCGCGGUAAUACGGGGGGUGCAAGCGUUAUUCGGAAUUAUUGGGCGUAAAGGGCGCGUAGGCGGUCUCUUAAGUCAGAUGUGAAAGCCCGGGGCUCAACCCCGGAAGUGCAUUUGAAACUAAGGGACUUGAGUAUGGGAGAGGGAAGUGGAAUUCCUGGUGUAGAGGUGAAAUUCGUAGAUAUCAGAGGAACACCGGUGGCGAAAGCGACUUUCCUGGACCAUACUGACGCUGAGGCGCGAAGCGUGGGAGCAAACAGGAUUAGAUUCCCUGGUAGUUCCACGCA
rnacentral:rRNA from 1 species